ACUUGGAAUACAGAGGCUAAACCGCAUCGCUUCUCACUUACAAUAUCCUGUAUCGAGAGCACAGAUUUGCACUUCGUGCAAAAGAUUUUAUCUCCAAGAGUCUUCAUAUGUAUGAUUCGACGUCCUUCGAUUCCAUCAACUACUUGACAAUUUCCAUCGUUUUAGAGGUUAUCCUUCAUGCUGUAUGUACCUCUCUUCGUACCGUAAAUAUUUCUCAAAUUUUUGCCUAACUUUUGAUCUGAACACCUUCUUUUAUACACUUUUUCUGUUACUCUUUUAUCUUUCCAAAAGAAUUUUGUUUGUUUUUCUUCAUUUUCUUUCACCUUCUCACUACACUCCUCAGACAUGUUUCACGUUAUGCGUCCAUAUAUAGCAGACCGUUCUUUAUUGCACGAAAGUAUACCUAUAUAUCUACAUAAAACGCGGCGUUGCCAGAUCCACUACUACGCGACUCAAGCGACAACUGCAACUCUCUACUGACUUGCACCGUAAGGUUAGAACCUCCUUAAUCCCAUUGGGGGCGCUAAUGUAAAUAAGUGUGUUUCGAAACUCGAGGACCCGUUUGUUUUGUCUCUCUCUCUCUCUCUCUCUCUCUCUCUCUCUCUCUCUCUCUCUCUCACACGCAACUCUAUGUAUUUCAAAACGACUUUGCACUGGGAGCCCGAGAUUCGGAAUACGCUGUGUAAACGUGCACAUGACGAAUUAUGUAGCAUGUAGAAAGGCCUAGAAUAUCAGCUCGGCUGGUUUAUCAACGCCAUAGUUUUCCACGUAGAGGAAGAAAUGUAAUUCUAAGUAUUUUCGAAUUAUUACGUUGAAUUUGUCUAGACAAAUAUGGCAGAUAUUGCGUCAUGCGCUUAGUGCGCAUUAGUGCGCUUUUUGAAAGAUAUAACGCAUGAUGUUUUAAUAAUAGAUGUUAAGAAUAUCAAGGAGUUCAAGCACAAUCUUCCCACUAGUUGCUUUGAUUUUAUAACCAACCAUAUAUACUAUGGAAAAGCCAAUGUUACAUCUCCGUAUGAACCACUAUCAAUUUUUGCUCUAGGAUCUCCAGCUGAUUUGGAAAAGAUGGAAGUACAGGAUAAAGCACAAAUAAGGCGAUUAAGAUAUCACAGAUUUAAUACCAGUGACUUUCACAACAACGUAGUAGAUAGUAGUUUUAAAGAUAUAUGUUAUUCUAGUAGGUUAAUGACGUUGAUAAUUACGCAAAAAGUUACGAAACCUUUUAUUCUUUAUCUCAUUCUUUGAUCUUACGCGUGUAAAACGUUAUGAACAAUGUUGUAAAACGUUAUAAACAAUGUUAAUUCCUAUCAAACAAA